rnacentral:lncRNA from 1 species
UUGCUACAUACAAAAGGCAGCCCAUGGUUUUGUCGAACGUAUCAUAAGUUUAUUUACAACAACUACUUCAGUUAAUUGAGAUGUACAAAACGUAGUGCAUUCUGAUGCAGUUGGUUGCGUUCUUUUAGCUGGGCUGGUAUUUGUUGGUGGCCUAUUCCGAGAACCUGAGUUUCUUGGUGUCGCUUACGCCUUCUGUGCAUUUUGAUGGCAGUCAUUAGUAAUGUUGUUUUUGUUAAAAGUGGCGUUAAGUUAAUACUUGGAAUAGGAUGGGAUACCUGAUUGAUAUAGUUGACGUUUAGCUGAAGGUCUGUUUUCAUUUGAUUCUAGGGCCAAUUUUUUGUCUGCAGUAGGUGUUGUUUGUUGGGUAGGUGAAGGUGGUGUUGCUGUGAUGUUUAGCUUGCUGUCGUAGACUUUGUUGACGGAGAGAACACUUGAGUUGGGAUUGGGAGUUGUUGAAUGGGCAUACUGAACCUGCAUUGUGACGUCUUUUCCAAUGGCCUCAUAUAGGGGUUCUGGUGUUUGAUAACGGUCUGUGUAUCCAUGCUUCAGGACCAUGUCUUUACAUUGUAUGCCGAUUAACCCAACAGUUGCCUCGUCAAAAAAUGUUGCCAUAGUAGGAGCUGUGUUGUCUGAGAUUGUUGCAGCCACGCAGUACCUACAGUUUUGGUGACUACCACAUGACCAACCUCUUUUUGUUUGGUAUAUUUUUCUUGGGCACUGUGGACACAUUGUGUAGUACCAUGGUCGACCUUUGAUGUAACUUGUCACUGAUGCUUGGCAACUGAAUGUUUGCCCCUGUAUAACAAAGUUAUCAGAUCAUAUC